rnacentral:lncRNA from 1 species
AAGGUUGAAGCCAAACCCCAACCACCUAAGGCUCAACCUAGGAUUAAUAAAACAAAUGCUCAUCCUAGAAAUAACAACCCUAGAACCAAUAUGCAUGCUUGACCAAAUGUUGAACACUUUAGAAGACCUAGAAAUGACUUAUCACCUAGAAAUAACUACUCUAGAAAUGAUGCAUAUUCUAGACCACACACUAGAAGGAAGUUUGAACCUUUUAGAACACCUAGAAAUGGCCCUCAACCUAGAAAC